rnacentral:rRNA from 1 species
UUCGCCCUUCGGUUGAUCCGCCGGACCCCACUGCUAUCGAGGUGGGACUAAGCCAUGCUAGUUGAGCGCACAGAACUAUGUCUGUGAGCGGCUACACUGCUCAGUAACACGUAGCUAACCUACCCUUAGGACGUGGACAACCCCGAGAAAUUGGGGCUAAUCCGCGAUAGAUGUAUUGUCCUGGAAUGGUAUUACGUCUAAAGGUAUCCCAUACAUGUUUGGUAUAUGCCUAAGGAUGGGGCUGCGGCCGAUCAGGCUGUUGGUGGGGUAAUGGCUCACCAAACCUUUGACCGGUACGGGCCAUGAGAGUGGUAGCCCGGAGAUGGACACUGAGACAAGGGUCCAGGCCCUACGGCGCGCAGCAGGCGCGAAACCUCCUCAAUGCACUUACGUGCGAAGGGGCUACCUUCGAGUGCCACCUGAUGAAGGUGGCUUUUCCUAGGUCUAAAAAAGCCUUAGAAAUAAGAGGGG